CAAAAAAUAAACCCUAGGUUUCCGUGUCCAACGUUUGACUGUUUGUCUUAUAUAAAUUUUUUUUAUAAUUAGUAUUUUCAUUGUUGUUAGAUGAUAAAACAUGAUUAAUACUUUAUGCGUGUCUUAUCUUUUUAAUUUUUUUUAAAUAAGACGGAGGGUCAAACGUUGGACACGAAAACCCAGGAUUUGUCUUUUU
rnacentral:pre_miRNA from 1 species